AUCGGCUAGACUUUGUAAACUUGAACUCUAAUUGGUGUUGGUUUGAGGUUUUGUUUUUAUCUUGUUUUUUAGGGUGAAAUCAGAAAUUUUUAUUAAUGGUGCCUUAAACUUUAAGAUUUGGUGAAUGAAUCAGAUUAGUACCUGAUUAAACAAAAGUUAAAAGAGCAGGAGUAAAGUUAUGUUUAAACUGAAAGAGUAUUGGCAGGUUUUUAAAUUAUCUUUGGAGGUUGAGUAGUAAUUGAGAGCCCUCAUUAACAACUUUUACUAUAGGCGCAUGUAUGAUCGUUUAUUUUAUUCUUAAGGAUUGCAAUUUUAGAUGGGGCCUCUGUUAAAAUAGAUAGAUAUUUGGUGUAUGUAGAAGAUUUAAUUUGACCUACAGUAUAUUAUUUUGUGGAUACCUCUUUAGUAGGGGGUUGAAAGUGUAAAAGACAGUAAGUUUUUUUUUAUGUAAGACUGAAGUUUAUUUAAGAACGGUACAAAUCAUC
rnacentral:rRNA from 1 species